rnacentral:rRNA from 1 species
GAUGAACGCUGGCGGCGUGCCUAAUACAUGCAAGUCGAGCGAACAGAUGAGGAGCUUGCUCCUCUGACGUUAGCGGCAGACGGGUGUGUAACACGUGGAUCACCUCCCUAUAAGACUGGGAUCACUUCGGGACACCGGCGCUAAUCCCGGAUAAUAUAUUGAACCGCAUGGUUCAAUAGUAAAAGACGGUUUUGCUGUCACUUAUAGAUGGAUCCGCGCCGCAUUAUCUAGUUGGGAAGGUAACGGCUUACCAAGGCGACGAUGCGUAGCCGACCUGAGAGGGUGAUCGGCCACACUGGAACUGAGACACGGUCCAGACUCCUACGGGAGGCAGCAGUAGGGAAUCUUCCGCAAUGGGCGAAAGCCUGACGGAGCAACGCCGCGUGAGUGAUGAUGGUCUUCGGAUCGGAAAACUCUGUUAUUAGGGAAGAACAAAUGUGUAAGUAACGAUGCACGUCUUGACGGUACCUAAUCAGAAAGCCACGGCUAACUACGUG